UGGUGGAGCGAUUUGUCUGGUUAGUUCCGAUAACGAACGAGACUCAGGCCUAUUAAAUAGUUCGCCGAUUCCGAUCUGUCGGCGUUAACUUCUUAGAGGGACAAGUGGCUUUUAGCCACGCGAGAUUGAGCAAUAACA
rnacentral:rRNA from 1 species